rnacentral:rRNA from 1 species
GAGUUUGAUUCUGGCUCAGGAUGAACGCUGGCGGCGUGCGUAACACAUGCAAGUUGGACGACGGUGCUAUGAAGUGGUAACACGGAAUGGUAUACGGAGUAGCGGACGGGUGAGUAAAGCAUGAGGAGCUGUCCUGUUGAGGGGGAUAACGUUCGGAAACGGACCCUAAUACCCCAUAGGCCGAGAGGUUAAAGGCAGAGAUGCGCGACAGGAGGUACUCGUGUCCUAUCAGCUGGUUGGUGAGGUAACGGCUCACCAAGGCGACGACGGGUAGCCGGCCUGAGAGGGUGACCGGCCACACUGGAACUGAGACACGGUCCAGACUCCUACGGGAGGUAGCAGUGGGGAAUAUUGGGCAAUGGGAGGAAUCCUGACCCAGCGACGCCGCGUGAACGAAGACGGCCUUCGGGUUGUAAAGUU